AUGGUUGUCGUCAGGCUCGUGUCGUGAGGAUCGUUGGUUAAGUCCCGCAACGACGCGCAACCUCGACCUUAGUUGCCAGCAUUCAGUUGGGCACUCUAAGGUGACCGCCGGCUAAAAGUCGGAGGAAGGUGGGGAUGACGUCAAAUCAUCAUGCCCCUUAUGACCUGGGCUACACACGUGCUACAAUGGGCGGUACAAAGGGUCGCGAACCCGCGAGGGGGAGCCAAUCCCAAAAAGCCGCUCCCAGUUCGGAUUGCAGGCUGCAACUCGCCUGCAUGAAGCCGGAAUCGCUAGUAAUCGCGGAUCAGCAUGCCGCGGUGAAUACGUUCCCGGGCCUU
rnacentral:rRNA from 1 species